GAGCUGUUAGCUUAAUGGUAAAGCUCUAUAGCUUUAAACCGCUAUAGAAAGUGAAUGGUUCGAUUCCUUCACGGCUCA
rnacentral:tRNA from 1 species